rnacentral:rRNA from 1 species
UGGGCGUAAGCGCACGCAGGCGGUCUGUCAAGUCGGAUGUGAAAUCCCCGGGCUCAACCUGGGAACUGCAUUCGAAACUGGCAGGCUAGAGUCUUGUAGAGGGGGGUAGAAUUCCAGGUGUAGCGGUGAAAUGCGUAGAGAUCUGGAGGAAUACCGGUGGCGAAGGCGGCCCCCUGGACAAAGACUGACGCUCAGGUGCGAAAGCGUGGGGAGCAAACAGGAUUAGAUACCCUGGUAGUCCACGCCGUAAACGAUGUCGACUUGGAGGUUGUGCCCUUGAGGCGUGGCUUCCGGAGCUAACGCGUUAAGUCGACCGCCUGGGGAGUACGGCCGCAAGGUUAAAACUCAAAUGAAUUGACGGGGGCCCGCACAAGCGGUGGAGCAUGUGGUUUAAUUCGAUGCAACGCGAAGAACCUUACCUACUCUUGACAUCCAGAGAACUUUCCAGAGAUGGAUUGGUGCCUUCGGGAACUCUGAGACAGGUGCUGCAUGGCUGUCGUCAGCUCGUGUUGUGAAAUGUUGGGUUAAGUCCCGCAACGAGCGCAACCCUUAUCCUUUGUUGCCAGCGGUUAGGCCGGGAACUCAAAGGAGACUGCCAGUGAUAAACUGGAGGAAGGUGGGGAUGACGUCAAGUC